AGAGUUUGAUCCUGGCUCAGAUUGAACGCUGGCGGCAUGCUUUACACAUGCAAGUCGAACGGCAGCACGGGGGCAACCCUGGUGGCGAGUGGCGGACGGGUGAGUAAUGCAUCGGAACGCGUCCUGUAAUGGGGGAUAACCUAGCGAAAGUUAGGCUAAUACCGCAUACGUCCUGAGGGAGAGAGCGGGGGAUCGUAAGACCUCGUGUUAUAGGAGCGGCCGAUGUCGGAUUAGCUAGUUGGUGGGGUAAAGGCCUACCAAGGCGACGAUCCGUAGCGGGUCUGAGAGGACGGCCCGCCACACUGGGACUGAGACACGGCCCAGACUCCUACGGGAGGCAGCAGUGGGGAAUUUUGGACAAUGGGGGCAACCCUGAUCCAGCCAUGCCGCGUGAGUGAAGAAGGCCUUCGGGUUGUAAAGCUCUUUCGGCCGGGAAGAAAUCGUGCGGGCUAAUACCCUGUAUGGACGACGGUACCGGAAGAAGAAGCACCGGCUAACUACGUGCCAGCAGCCGCGGUAAUACGUAGGGUGCGAGCGUUAAUCGGAAUUACUGGGCGUAAAGCGU
rnacentral:rRNA from 1 species